rnacentral:tRNA from 1 species
GGAAAGGUGCAGGAGUGGUUGAUCUGGCUCGCCUGGAAAGCGUGUAUACCGCAAGGUAUCAAGGGUUCGAAUCCCUUCCUUUCCGCCA